UUCCACAGCGAGUUCUUCACUGGUCUUGCUUCAAAGAGUUCAAAAAAAAAAAAAAAAAUGCUGUUGUUAAAAAGAGCAAGAGGUCUCAGCAUGGAGCUGUGUGACAAGACCACCAAAGUAGCAGGCACGUUUGGUUUGUUGUUCAAAGUUUGCGUGUUUAAGUUGGCUUCUCCCCCAGAUCUCCGAACGAAAUGUGCACAAAGAUUCCUGUUCCUUAGCCAGAGGCGAGCGGGGCGAAGCCACCAAUCCUUUCCAAAACAUGAUCUGUUCUUCAGCAUGGCACCGAAUUCAACAGGCGCUCGGGAUUUCAGACUCGUACCACACAGAUGUUCAUCAACAGUUUCCUAAAAAAUAGAGCGAGCAGCCCAGAGACUGACUGGAACCCACGGCUUUGACCAAAGACUUUGAGAGAAGCUGAAAUCGAAGAAUAAAGCUUAAUGGCACGAGUACAUUCAGGUGGUCAGCUGACUUCAUGUUAUUUCCACAUAACGUUGCCGUGUCUAGACCUGAGCGACUGAUCAACCCCAGACCAUAACACCAUCUCCAGAGGCUUGUACAGUGGACACUAUGCAUGAUGGGUGCAUCGCUUCAUGCUCCUCCCUUCUUACCCUGACAUGCCCAUCACUCUGGAAUAGGGUCAGUCUGGACUCAUCAGGUCACAUGAUCCAAAGUCCAAUCUUUAUUCUCUCUAAUGGACACACAGCUGUUUAGUCUCAGUCCUGUGAGUUCUCAUCACAUUAUGUGUGUGUGUGUGAGUGUGUGUGUAUGAACAUUGACUAUUGAACACAGCAUUGAUAACUACCGCCCAUUUGUAUCAUGAUGCAGCUUCAUCACGUGUCAUCUCCGUGUGUGAUUUGUUUCUGACCUCAUUUCUCCCACGGACUGGACGGUUCAGCGCUCUUCUUCUACAUUUGGUCAGUUACUAAAACCCUUAAAACUCUAGUGGUUCAGGUCCAUGCCGGCAACACAGCGUAGGUCAGUGAUGAUUAAUAAAAGAAUGAAUACGUAUAUGGAAGCCCUGCUGCUGAUAACCUGGCUUCUGGUUAUCAGGACUCUCAAAAUGAGCAUAUUAUUAUUAGUUUGGUGAUAAAAACAAACGGAAAACACGCGAUCAUGUAGAACUUUCCUAUGUCUUUGCCUGUGUCAGCCAUUUUUAAGUUUUUGCCCAAUCAGAUUGCCUGUUUUGUGCUGAAAUAAAGGACAUGUUACUCUAUACAGCACAAUCCUGAGCCUUAUAUAUGUUUAUAUAUCUUGUAUGUCUUUUUAAAGAAACAGCAAAACAAAUAAUGUCUAAAAUGUCUUAAAGGGCUACAUCUAUUCAAAUCUCAAUCUCAAAUUGUAAAAAUUGUUUUCUUUUCAUGAUGCAGGCCAAUAAUGAAUAAAGAUUUUUUGUUUG